GAAUUUUAUAGAAAGUUAAUAAAAGUUUUAGUAUAAAAAUUUAUUAAGUUUGUAUUUUAUUGGGAGGAUAAUUAAAUUAAAGAAACUUUAAAAAAAUAAAAAAUCAUUGAUGUAUGAAUUAGAGUGUAAUAGAAUGAUGAAAAAAUUUAAAUAGAAUUAAUUACCUUAGGGAUAACAGCGUUAUAUUUUUAGAGAGACCUUAUUAAUAAAAAUGUUUGC
rnacentral:rRNA from 1 species